rnacentral:rRNA from 1 species
UACGUAGGGGGCGAGCGUUGUCCGGAAUUACUGGGCGUAAAGGGCGCGCAGGCGGCCGUGUAAGUCCGCUGUGAAAGACCGGGGCUCAACCCCGGGGUGUCAGCGGGGACUGCACGGCUGGAGUCCCGGAGAGGGAGGCGGAAUACCUGGUGUAGCGGUGGAAUGCGUAGAUAUCAGGUGGAACACCGAUGGCGAAGGCAGCCUCCUGGACGGGUACUGACGCUGAGGCGCGAAAGCGUGGGGAGCGAACGGG